rnacentral:tRNA from 5 species
GGGGGUGUACUCAAGCAGUCAACGAGGGCAGACUGUAAAUCUGCUGGCCGUAGGCCUACGUAGGUGCAAAUCCUACCGCCCCCACAA